rnacentral:sRNA from 1 species
AGCUGUUCCCCUCUGGAGGAUGAAUAUCUCCACACCUUCAGCACCCGGCGACGGGUGCUUUUUUUUUGCAAUAU